GGGAGGGGGCGGAUAGGGGCCAGGGGCCAGGCUGUUUGCGGAGGCACAGCCUUCCCUACCUGGGCCUCCAUGCAGUUUUGCAAUCCCGAUGUGGCCCUCGGGCCAAAAAGUUUGCUCACCCCUGCAUUAGAUGAUAUGAUGAUAUAAUGGCAGUUCCUUAUUUACACUAGUUCAAGUCUACUGGUCAUAGCAACAGUAGGAAAUUCAGGGGGAAAAGGUUAGUGCAGGCAGUGCCUUAAAGACUGACAUGGGUUCUUCUUUGUCAGCAAGAGGACCUAGGUGAACCAGCACUGACCCAGGAGAACUGGGCAAACCAACUCAUACAACGCAUCCGUGGCCCUCUGUGAAAAUUAAGUGCUAGGCCAGAUGGUUUCCCUAGCAUGUGUGUAUUUGGUGGUGACUGAGAUACAAACAAGUAAGACACAGGAUCAAAAAUGUUGGAAGCAGGACCCAGACCCAGAAUCAAAUUGUGAAGCUGCUGCUGAAGAGCUGGGAUAUAGAGGUUUUGGCUGGAUUAGUAAGUAGAACAGCCGGUGUGCAGAUUUGCUGCUGUUUGCCAUCUUUGUGCAGGGUGAACAGAAUGUGUGUUCAUACUGUUGUUUUGGUUUUUUUUAAAUAAGAGGAAAUAUCCUGUGUCUGGGCAUCACUUAUCGAUCUCUACCCUAAAUAACAGACCCAUUGUAAAGUUCCACCUUCUACCCUUGAAAAUGAGUUAGUGAUUAUUUUAUUUGUAUUAUUAGCAUUUCUAAGGUGCUUACUGUCAUAGUCUCAGGAUAACUGCAUGUGUAUCCCCCCCUCCUCCAUGGUCCAGUCCACAAAUGCCUGUCAUCCAGCCAUCACCUGUCUCUGGGUAGGGACCCUUGUCCUAUUCCCUUCUGACUGGCUGCAUAGUACCUUGCCUUACACUGUGAUGUCCACAGAUUGGCAGUCUGCCUUACAGCUAGUGCCUGUGCAUUGCUUUCUAUCUCUAAGGCCUAUGACCAGUGUAUUGCCAGCGGUCAGGAGUUACUAAGCAAGCACAUUUAUUCUUAAGGUAAAAGCAUUACACAGAAAACAUAAGAAAAACAAUAAACAGAUUUAAACACACACUCAACAUAGCAAGAGUCGACCAUCAGUCUUAUGGGGCCCGAGUAGACCAAAGUCUUUCCAACCCUUCCACAAGAGUUGUGGUCCCCCUUCAACAGACGGUCCUGUCCAUUUUCUGGAUCAGAAAGAAGGUCCUGAGUCAAUUUAACUCCAGCUUUUUUAUAUCAAAAUCCUUUUCUUUUUCUGUGGGUCUCUGGAAGACCCAAUUUAAAACCAGUUUAUGCAAGCCUUCCCAGGGAUGGUACCUCUCUAGAGGGAUUACAACCUAAGUGAUUCACCUUAAUCAUCCCCCACUGUUUUUGGUUCCUAGAGGAGCUGUGGUAAUCCUCCCCUGUGGAACUGUAUACAAUCCCUGGCCCACAAUGAUACAUAAACCAUUCAUAAAGUGAAUGCAAUACAGUCCCCAAAGAUAUUGCACAGGGUUGCAAUAUCUGUCACACCUAUAUCAAUGUAUGGAGGUACCAUUACAUAGCUUUAGAAAAACAACACUUCCUUAUGGGGAGGGAAGCAACAAAUAAUUAUCAUUGGGGUGUGUAGCAUCCAGCCUUGAGUCUACAAAUAUUAAUCAGAAAAUGGAAAGAAAUUGUCGCUUGAGCAACCCUUCUGAGAAUGCCAGAGUUCACUCUGGAACACAGGACCUCAAGUGUGUAAUGGAACGCAAUUAACUUGUGCCAGUUUCUGUCUUUAUUAUCUCAUUAUGUACAGCUCUUACAAACAUCGUGUGAGGGCUGUGUGUACAACUCCUACAGCAUGAGGAUGCUGUAACCUAGUUUUCAGAUCUUGCCCUGCUGCUUUCUCUUCCCUCCCCUAUGGAGAGCUUUUCACUCCCCCACUCAAAGGUUAGCAACAUCUGGCUGCCUCUGUCUUCACUCUUCCAAAAGGAAUCUGCCGCUGGGCUGACUCUUCUCUCAUGUGCUGAGGACAGUAACAGCACCCAGCCAUCUCCUCCUCCCUCUCCUCUGGCUAAACAGUGGAGGAGGGAGAGAGAUUAUUACAUGUGGAAUGCAGCAGAUCAAACCUACUGGUUUGGUGAUAAUUGCUGCAUGCUAAGGAGGCUAGCAAUAAAUGUUCCCUCGUGUGUGUUUCUGUAGUACUGCUUGAAACAGGGCACCACCCUCCUGAAUCUUCUGCAGUACUUUCCCCUUUCUCUGCAUUAUUAUUAAUAUAUUUGAGUAGUGCCCCAAAGGCCCACGCAGGAUUGGAGUCCUGUUGUGCUAGACAUUGUACAGAAACGCAGGUUGAUAUGGUCUUUGCCCAAAGAACUUACAAUCUGAGAAGACAAACAUCAUAAUGUAUUUAUUUAGAUUUUAAAUGAUAAAAAGACACCUAUCUAAGACUCAAGGCACCCAAACACAUUCAUUAAUUAUAUGAUGCAAUUAAUCCUAGUGUUGUUCAAAUAAUAAUGCCAACAGGAACCCUGCCAGCCAGACACCUACAGAAAUUCCCUUCUGCCCAUUCAUCCUGGUGAGGAGCACACCCUCAACUCUCUCCAAAAACCCUAUCAGUUAGGUGUCUUUUGGAGUAUGCCCAAAUUCGGCCUACUUCAGAACAAGGGAGGUAAUUUGUUCCAGAAUCUCACAGCCCUCAUAGCAACUAUGAAGGACUGUUCAUGUUUAUAUAAAAAGUGUACAUGUGCAUCCCACACACAAGUCUCUCCAACAUUUUCUGGUGGAUUUCUUGUAGGAAUGAUAAGUAUCUUGGGCAUAGGGCUGCCAGAUGCCCGGUUUGUGACUGGAAUGCCUAGUUGAAAAGGGACCUGGCGGCUCUGGUCAGCACUGCUGACGGGGCCAUUAAAAGUCUGGUCAUCGGUGUAGCAGGGCUAAGGCAGGGUCCAAGCGGCUCCUAGAAGCAGCAGCAUGUAUCCCCUCCGGCUUCUAUGCAAAGGGGCUCUGCACUCUGCCCCCGCCCCAUGCACCAGCUCCGAAGCUCCCAUUGGCCAGGAACCUUUGGUUGCUCUGCAGUAGGGUCUACUCCAGACGGCCUGGCACUCCUGCGGCCUCUCUGCAGGAGCUACCAGCAUAAGACUGCUCACUUGCGCUACCCACCCUGGCUGGACUGAGCUGUUCCCUUUUGAACUGUGCCUCUAAGGUGAGAAUGUGCAGUAGGUGUGGUUGGGUGGGGCCUUCGGAGGCCAGAGAUGCUCUUUAAUCCAUGGUUCCCUGGGAUGGGGCUUAAACACCCCCAUCACAUCUGUGCAAUAUGCAUUUCAUGUUUCCUGUAUUAUUUUACUUGUAUUGGCCACCAGAAAAUGGCCUAAUAACUGCAAGAGGGUAAGAGCAAAAGGAAUUACAAUCUUCAAACUAGGAGAACAGUGAGUUUGCCUCAUUAGAGUCUGAAAAUUGGGAAGAGAGGAGGAAGCCUGAGAAAGAAGCAGAGUAAAAAGUUUCCUCCAAAUCAGCUGUUGUUUCAAGUCUCCACAUUGGUAAGUAUUAAUUUGUCUUACCCCAAAGGUCACUGGUGAAUACUCUUUGAUUAAAUACAUUAUUAGACAGGGAGUCAGACAAGCCUUAACCUAAAUUACUGUAAAACGGACAGCCCAAUCAACUUAAUAUGUGAAGUGUCUCAUUGCCUCAGUCCAUUAAUUUAUUUUAAUUUGAUGUGUUGGUUUGAUCAUGAUUAGAUCUCAUUAGAAAAUGGGUGUCUUUUCACAAUUUUUUUGACUUGUUGAAAAAGAAACUUGAUGGCUGAAAACCAAAAGUUUGGGCCUGAAAGUUUUCAGUUAUUGCCAAAAAAAAAUUUAUAGUCUUCAUUUUUUAAACAAAAUAUUUUAGUUAAAAAACAGUUUUAGUUUAAAAAUGUGUUGUUAAAAAACUAUUUAGGUGGAAAUUUUUCACCCAGCCCUAUAGUCAGGAUCUUAUUCUUGUGUAGACCAACUUUGGGAUGUAGUUGACAUUAUUCCUUUUUCCAGACAGUGAUCAACAGCAGCAUUUUAUUGAAGACCCAGAGGUGGUUUAAGCUCUUCUCCACCUUCUCUAGGGAUGGUUGGAACUUCAAGAAAUUUUGCAUUUUGGAAAGUUAAAAAAUGUAUGAAUUUCUCUCUCUCCAUCCUUAAAAGAGGAAGCAAACUUCAACGAUGGCUGUUCAGCUAUCCAAAUGGGCCACUUAAAAGGGAGCAACACAGUGGACAGAAAAGGGAAAUGGACAGCAGCCUGAGUUAAUUCCAUGAAACAGAGGGCUCACUGUUUGGCUAUAUGAUUUACAAGGAGUCCGUGUACUCUACAUGGGGAAUACGUGUGAUUUGGCAGGUAGGAAUGGUGGAAAGAAACAAGAGUUUAAGAAAAACAUAGAUCUCAGCAAUGCAACAUAACACAAUUUUAUUCUGUAUAGCCAUGCAACCCUGUAUUCCAAAGAAUUUUGCAGAGUUAAAUAUAACAAGAUUGAACAAUAAAUAAGGGCCAAGGGAAGAGGAGAAAUACACAAGAAACAUGUUUUUUUCAGGUAAGAAUUGAAAAAAUGAAGCUGGUCAAUAAGGUGGACUUAUAAAGUUGAUUAAAUUAAAACAACAGAUUUUUAUGGGCAAUCUGCAGAAAAGUCCUGUGUGAAAUUGUGUAGAAUCUUUCUAAGUGAAUACAGUUAUAAGCUGAAAUAGAAAAGGUUAAACAAUACAACAUCACUUGUUCAUUCAUUAUUAUUUCAGUGCAGCUUUUACUACAUUGUGUAAGUUUGCUGUAUCUUCAACAAACAUUGGUAUGGCUAAACAUCUAAUCAAACUGCAUAAUUUGCAGAUUUUUCUUUAACACAAGUGCAUACACACACUCCUGUUCUACUUCACUAAGAAAGCUUUUUGACUUUUUAUAGAGGUCACUGAAGGAACUGUAUAAGGGGUUCCUUGUUUAGUAACUGGUAACAUCACAUAACGCUUUCCAUUAACAAAUUUGAAAUAUUUGUAUAGAGCUUCAUUUAAAUCAAUGGGACUAUUUGUGGAGUAUGGUAAUAUUUAACCUGAAAAUGGAUGGCUCAGUCUGGCCCAUAGUAUUCUUCGGGGGGCUGGGGGAGAGCCAUUUUUAUGUCAGAUCAAUACAGAAUCAGCCAGGCAAUGAGCUCCAUGCAUGACCAAAUCUUAUUUUAUAAUGAUCUUAAUAUCAAAUUAUAGUGGUCCUUGGAAGGUCACACAGCCCAUGCAGCUGAUUCUAUUUCACACACACAAGAAGCAUAUAUUUCUUCUAAUGGAUACUGCUAUCAUUCAGCCAUUCUACUUAAUUUUUCAGCUCACAACAGGAGGAAGAUCCAACCACGAAUGUCAAGGUGUGGGACUGACUAAUUACAAGGGCCAGAUUUUCAAAGGUAUUUAGUCAUCCAAAUAUGUAACUAAGAACCUCCCUGGAUUUUCAAAAGAGCCUAAGCAGGUUCAUUGAUUUCCAUGGCAAUUAGGUGCUGAACCAACUUAAGUGCUUUUGAAAAUCCAAGUAGGCACCUAAAUCCCUUUGGCAAUCUGGCCCCAACCCAUCAGGGAAAGUUAAUUUAUUUUGAGUAAUGUACUUUUAACCUGCAGUUAUUAAUAUUCAGAGAAGGUUUGUAUGUGUAUGAGGCCUGGUCUACACUACAGAGUUAGGUCGAAGGAACCUGCCUUAAGUUGACCUGUUAAUGUAUGUGUCUACACUACCGGGGUCCUUUACACCGACCUAAAUCACCUCUAAUGUCACCUUCUGUAAUCCACCUCUGGGAGAGGCGCAGCCCUUAAUUUGAUUUUCAUGAGUUGACUGUGACGCAGAUGCAGUGUUGUAUAAUUUGACUUAAUUGGCCUCCAGGUGGUGUCCCACAAUGCUCAUCUGUGACCACUCUGGAGAUUAUUUUCAACUCUGCUGCACUGCAGCUAAGUACACAUGAAACAGACCCUCCCCUGCUAACGCCCCAGGAAUUUUUGAUUUCCCAUUUCCUGUUUGAUCAGCAUUGGGAAUGUGCCAGCUUGAGCACAGCUGAUCAUGGAGACUACACACCCCAAAUGUGCUUCAGCCUGGUCUGCACAGGAGCUGGUGGAUCUCAUCGUUGUGUGGGGAGAAGGUCUGUGCAGGCAGAGCUCUGAUGCAGCAGAAGAAAUGCUGACAUCUGUGCAAAGAUUGCUCGUGGAAUGGGGGUGAAGGGCUACACAAGGGACACACAGCAGUGCCGUGUGAAAAUAAAAGAACAUCACCAAGUGUACCAGAAGGCAAGGGAGGUGAACAGUGAUUCUGGUGCUGAACCCCACACAUGCUGGUUCUACAACAAGCUGCAUGUGAUUCUCGGGGUGACCCUACCAGUACCCCCACAAACAACAUGGACACCUCACAGGUGUGUGAGUCUAGGGACAACAGGGAGGACGAUAUGGUGGAUGAGGAGUAGGAGAAUGGGAGACAGGGGAGCAGUGAAUCCAUUCUCCCCAACAGCCAGGAAAUAUUUUAACCCUGGAGCCCUGUGGGUCACAGGACAUCACAGUGGCCAACUAUGAUGCUGGGGAAGACACCUCUGGUGAGUAUACAGUUACAGUCAGAGUCCAGUUAAACUUCAGCAGGCACACAUAUGCAGUGGUAUUCCAUGUUUUCUGUGAAGAAAAAGCAAGGCACUGUGGUUCUCUGCUUACAAGAGGCCACUCCAGCGAUGCAGAGGGUGCCCCCUAGAAAAGACUGUUUAUGUGGACUGGGAUAGCCCCGGGACUUCUCCAUGGAUAUCUCUAGGAAACUUUCAUGGAGGUACUCUGCAAUUCUUUGCAGAAGGUUUCUGGGCAGACUUUCGUUGAUUAGAAGAAGAAAGAGAAUGCAGGAGGACAUGUUCACUGAGAUAAUGAAUGCCUCCGGGACAGCUGAGACAGAGCUGAGAGCAUGGAGGAUUUCUCUGCCUGAGAAUUUAAACAUAGACAUGGAGAGCAGACAAGCUGCCCAUGAGUGUGCAGCACAGGAUGAGAUGCUUCAGACUAUGCGGGACCAAUCAGACAUGUUGAGGCAUCUGGAUGAACUGCAGGAACAGAAGCAGGAGGGUAGAGUCCCUUUGCAGACCCUGGUAGACAGCCAGCCAGCAUCGCCUGGAACAGAAUCACCCACCCCCAAGUGUUCCAUAAGGUGCUGGAGAAAAGUCCAUUAUCCCUUUCACUUAACUCAGGGGGAGGGUACAAGGUACAGAAGGCACCCAUUCACAGACCUUUGAUGGUCUAGAAUGCGGCGCUGUGUUACACAGCUGAAAAUGUUUCUCCCGUUCCAACUUUACAAUGCCUUUUCCCCAAGGCUACCUUUUCUUUCUGUUCUCCCUCUUUACUUAUGUUUGUUAAAUAAAGUAAAUGGAUUUGAGAAAUAAA